UACGUAGGGUGCGAGCGUUAAUCGGAAUUACUGGGCGUAAAGCGUGCGCAGGCGGUUCGUUAAGUCAGAUGUGAAAGCCCCGGGCUCAACCUGGGGACUGCAUCUGAAACUGGCGGGCUUGAGUGUGGCAGAGGGGGGUGGAAUUCCGCGUGUAGCAGUGAAAUGCGUAGAGAUGCGGAGGAACACCGAUGGCGAAGGCAGCCCCCUGGGCCAACACUGACGCUCAGGCACGAAAGCGUGGGGAGCAAACAGG
rnacentral:rRNA from 1 species